rnacentral:lncRNA from 1 species
GCGGGUCUGUUGGCUUGCCCAGGGAAACGCAAUAAUCCGGGGCGUGACAUAUAUCUUAUAUUUGAAUUUUAUAAUCUUAAAUUUUAAGUUUUUAAAUUUGUAAUCUCGAUAUUUACAACAUUAAGUUUAACAAAUAAGUUGUAAAUUUUAAUUUCAAAUUUUCAUUUCAAAAUUUAAUUUUUAAUUUUCAAAAUUCCAACUUUUGAAUUUUAUAAACAAACACACUACAACUUUUAACCGAAAUAAAAUCUUUAAACCUGAACUAAUUAGGAAGAAAUUAUUUUUUUCACAAUCUCGACCAACUGACACUAAGAGU